rnacentral:rRNA from 1 species
GACGAACGCUGGCGGCGUGCCUAAUACAUGCAAGUAGAACGCACAGUUUAUACCGUAGCUUGCUACACCAUAGACUGUGGGUUGCGAACGGGUGAGUAACGCGUAGGUAACCUGCCUGGUAGCGGGGGAUAACUAUUGGAAACGAUAGCUAAUACCGCAUAAUAUUAAUUAUUGCAUGAUAAUUAAUUGAAAGGUGCAAUUGCACCACUACCAGAUGGACCUGCGUUGUAUUAGCUAGUAGGUGAGGUAACGGCUCACCUAGGCGACGAUACAUAGCCGACCUGAGAGGGUGAUCGGCCACACUGGGACUGAGACACGGCCCAGACUCCUACGGGAGGCAGCAGUAGGGAAUCUUCGGCAAUGGACGAAAGUCUGACCGAGCAACGCCGCGUGAGUGAAGAAGGUGUUCGGAUCGUAAAGCUCUGUUGUAAGAGAAGAACGGGUGUGAGAGUGGAAAGGUCACACUGUGACGGUAUCGUACCAGAAAGGGACGGCUAACUACGU